UACGGAGGGUGCGAGCGUUGUCCGGAAUCACUGGGCGUAAAGGGCGCGUAGGUGGCCCCUUAAGUGUGUGGUGAAAGCCCGGGGCUCAACCCCGGGUCGGCCAUGCAAACUGGGGGGCUUGAGCAUUGUAGAGGCAGGCGGAAUUCCGGGUGUAGCGGUGGAAUGCGUAGAGAUCCGGAAGAACACCGGUGGCGAAGGACGGC
rnacentral:rRNA from 1 species